rnacentral:rRNA from 1 species
AUUGAACGCUGGCGGCAUGCCUUACACAUGCAAGUCGAACGGUAACGCGGGGCAACCUGGCGACGAGUGGCGAACGGGUGAGUAAUGUAUCGGAACGUGCCCAGUAGUGGGGGAUAGCCCGGCGAAAGCCGGAUUAAUACCGCAUACGACCUACGGGUGAAAGGGGGGGAUCGCAAGACCUCUCGCUAUUGGAGCGGCCGAUAUCAGAUUAGCUAGUUGGUGGGGUAAGGGCCCACCAAGGCAACGAUCUGUAGCUGGUCUGAGAGGACGACCAGCCACACUGGGACUGAGACACGGCCCAGACUCCUACGGGAGGCAGCAGUGGGGAAUUUUUGGGACAAUGGGCGCAAGCCUGAUCCAGCCAUGCCGCGUGCGGGAAGAAGGGCCUUCGGGUUGU